rnacentral:rRNA from 1 species
CCCAGACUCCUACGGGAGGCAGCAGUGGGGAAUAUUGGACAAUGGGGGGAACCCUGAUCCAGCGACGCCGCGUGAGUGAAGAAGUAUUUCGGUAUGUAAAGCUCUAUCAGCAGGGAAGAAAGAAAUGACGGUACCUGACUAAGAAGCCCCGGCUAACUACGUGCCAGCAGCCGCGGUAAUACGUAGGGAGCGAGCGUUAUCCGGAUUUACUGGGUGUAAAGGGCGUGUAGGCGGGAUGGCAAGUCAGGCGUGAAAACUAUGGGCUCAACCCAUAGCCUGCGUUUGAAACUGUCGUUCUUGAGUGAUGGAGAGGCAAGCGGAAUUCCGUGUGUAGCGGUGAAAUGCGUAGAUAUACGGAGGAACACCAGUGGCGAAGGCGGCUUGCUGGACAUUAACUGACGCUGAGGCGCGAAAGCGUGGGGAGCAAACAGGAUUAGAUACCCCAGUA